GAGAUAUUAGUAAAAAAAAUUACAUAACUUUGUCAAAGUUAAAUUAUAGACCAAACCCUAUAUAUCUCA
rnacentral:tRNA from 1 species